CACGUAGGGCGCGAGCGUUGUCCGGAAUUAUUGGGCGUAAAGAGCUCGUAGGCGGCCUGUUGCGUCCGCUGUGAAAGCCCGGGGCUUAACCCCGGGUCGGCAGUGGAUACGGGCAGGCUAGAGGUAGGUAGGGGAGAAUGGAAUUCCCGGUGUAGCGGUGAAAUGCGCAGAUAUCGGGAGGAACACCGGUGGCGAAGGCGGUUCUCUGGGCCUUACCUGACGCUGAGGAGCGAGAGCGUGGGGAGCGAACAGG
rnacentral:rRNA from 1 species